rnacentral:rRNA from 1 species
CUGAGAAACGGCUACCACAUCCAAGGAAGGCAGCAGGCACGCAAAUUACCCAAUCCCGACCCUACGGGGAGGUAGUGACAAUAAAUAACAAUACGGGGCUCUUUCGGGUCUCGUAAUUGGAAUGAGUACAAUUUAAAUCCCUUAACGAGGAACAAUUGGAGGGCAAGUCUGGUGCCAGCAGCCGCGGUAAUUCCAGCUCCGCUAAUAGCGUAUAUUAAAGUUGUUGCAGUUAAAAAGCUCGUAGUUGAAUUUCGGGAUUGACACAUCGGUCGUGCCUUAAGGGGUAUGAACUGGUGUAGUCAAUUUCUCACCUUCUGGAGAACCGCAAUGCCCUUAAUUGGGUGUCGCGGGGAACCAGGACCUUUACUUUGAAAAAAUUAGAGUGUUUAAAGCAGGCAUUUUGCUUGAAUACAUUAGCAUGGAAUAAUAAAAUAGGACGGCAUGAUUCUAUUUUGUUGGUUUCUAGGAUCACCGUAAUGAUUAAUAGGGAUAGUUGGGGGCAUUAGUAUUCAAUUGUCAGAGGUGAAAUUCUUGGAUUUAUUGAAGACUAACUACUGCGAAAGCAUUUGCCAAGGAUGUUUUCAUUAAUCAAGAACGAAAG